AUGUCUUCUUCAAGCUCCCGCGCCACCUCGCAGAUGUAGAGCCUCGUGCACGUGGAGAUGCCUAUCUUCGUCUGUCCGCAGUGCCGAGCGGGCAUUGAUCGUAGGGUUUCUCACACACCGAAGAACCAGAGUCGUCCGUUCUAUGUGUGCAGCGAGAAUGGGGUGAAAUGUUUCUUCCUUUGAGUCGAUGCUCUGGCCAAGACUCUGAUGAAUGAACUGCAAGAAAAGCAUGAAGAAUGGUUGUGCAUGCUGCCAUGAACGGCAGUGGCCGCAGCACGAGCUCCGGAAGAAGAGAUGGAGGGCGAAGCACACAUUGAUAGAGAGCUAGUUGUUCAGCUUAGGAUGUUGAAGAAGAAGGUUAGGAAGCUUGAAGAUCAAGCACAAAUACCCAUUUGCAAUUACUUUUGAGCAUUUGUAGGUACGAUAAUCGCACUGGGUGUAAUGUUGAAAUUGUAUGGAAAGGCUUGA
rnacentral:rRNA from 1 species